rnacentral:misc_RNA from 1 species
GAUGAAGAACGUAACGAAAUGCGAUAAGUAAUGUGAAUUGCAGAAUUCAGUGAAUCAUCGAAUCUUUGAACGCACAUUGCGCCCGCCAGUAUUCUGGCGGGCAUGCCUGUUCGAGCGUCAUUUCAACCAUCAAGCCCCCCGGCUUGUGUUGGGGACCUGCGGCUGCCGCAGGCCCUGAAAAGCAGUGGCGGGCUCGCUGUCACACCGAGCGUAGUAGCAUACAUCUCGCUCUGGGCGUGCUGCGGGUUCCGGCCGUUAAACCACCUUCAUAACCCAAGGUUGACCUCGGAUCAGGUAGGAAGACCCGCUGAACUUAAGCAUAUCAAUAAGCGGAGGA